rnacentral:lncRNA from 1 species
GAUCAUAUUCACGUUGCAAAGUGUGUUGUCAUCUAGCUGGACUGUAUUGAACAGCUGACUGUCGGCUUUGAGACAAGAUCGCAGUCGCGCGCCGAAGCGUUGAUACGUUUGUCGAAAGAUGCGAUAUCAUGUUUAAUACUUCGGCUGAUUCAUUAAUUCGGAAAAGAAUUAAAGCGCACGGAUGUUCGGAAAAAUUAAGUCGUGCCUUCUCGGGCUCUUCACGACUCGUGACAUGUGUAUAAUACUGACUGCAGGUUCAUUCGUGGGCUUACUAUUAGUGUCUGUAACAUUUAUUCGUGAAACAUAAACACGGCGGUAAGCUGAGUUGACCGUGGGUUGAGUCAUGUAAAUACGAAUCUUCUACAUCACUUCAAAGAGGUGUGUGUCGCGACAUAUUUGGAAUGAAGGAGCCGAGCGUACAGCAAUGUUUUUCCAGCGUUACUAAGCCCUGCCAAGAUCAGGCUUCGGCCAACGGAUCUUCUCCUACGCCAUACAGCAAAUACAACUAAAAUAAUAAAAUGAUGCCACAUAUUUUUAAAAGUAUGUAGAUCAUUAGUUAGGUUGAAUAAAACAAUGUAACUAUAUAUAUUUUUACAUGAUUAUUGCUCAAGUCGAUGUCGUUGUUAUAAAACUGUGGAUUUGUAAACAAGAAAUUUUGUUACAAAUUGUGUACAGUUAAUUUCUUUUUUGACUCUACGGAAGAAAUCGAUAUUUCAAUUUCCAAUAAUGUAUCUAUUUUGUUAUUAUGUACACAAUCACGAAGCUAGAGUUGUUUUCUUUUUAUUCACUAUUUUAAUACUAUUUUAUAACUAUUGUAAAUUCUAUGAUAUUGUUUUAAUAUGAGAUCUAUGCUUUUAAUGGCACGAUAUUAAUUUAGCUUGAUACAACCUGCAUUGUUGGAAGAAAUGCCAAUAUAUCAUCUUACCAUAUGCCACGUACAUACAUUAUGCAUAAAAUUGUUGUUACUCUUAUCUCUCUGAGAUUAAUUGUCUAUAUAUAGAUCGAAUCGUAUUAUAUAAAUUCGUGCAGCAACGAGAUUUUUCAAUAUUAGUAACAAAAUGCGCAUGUUUACAUGUUCAAAUGUUAUGUACUUGUGUAAAUUGAAUGCGGUGCAUUAGCGGGAACGGUGCACACCGAAACACAAUAAUUUGUCGAAAAUCAUAACCUAAGACUAAUCUAUUUCAUGUAAUAUUAUACCUAGCGUGAUAAAUAUGGUAAACACAGCAACGAGCAUUCCAAUAAAUUGUGUGUUUUCAUUGUU